UGAUAAUUUGCUAAAUGCCUGUAACAUUUCAUUGUAUUUUAUAGCCGACUGAGCCAUCCCAAUAUUGUUCGACUCAUGGCUGCAGCCCGCACUGACAACGCCUUCCUGCUGGCCAAUGAGUAUAUACAUGGCACAACCCUGGAGGAUGCACUACACAAUGACCAUUCUUCUGUUAAGCUUGAAGGAGAUGACAGUUAUUUUGUUGCCCUCGACAUCUCGAUGGCCAUUGAGUACAUCCGUUCAAAAAAUGUCAUCCAUCAAGAUUUAAAGCCAGCCAAUGUUUU
rnacentral:lncRNA from 1 species